GUCACCCUCAAACAUACACCAAUCCACGAGCUACUAUUUUGGGCGUGCUCAACUGAAGGUGGGGAGGGUACGUGUUGGGUCCUAGGGCUUUUGGUGGGUGGUAGUGAUUAAGCCAAUGCCUAUCCGCGAGCUGUUGAAGCUAAGAAGCUAGUUCAAAGGUGGGGAGGCUAUAAGUGGUGGAUCUAAGGGCUUCUGACGAUUGAAGAUGGCGAUUAUCUGUGGGCUCUCUCUCUCUCUCUCUGUGCUAAUGGCACAAAAAGAGUUGCAGCUACGAGUAGAGAAGAAUGGAGAGUUGUUGCGAAAGUUAGUGGAUGAACAGCCAUCCUUCCAAAAUUGUAUAUACAAAAUGUGAACAGCAGCCAUCUCCUUCCUCGUCUGCUAUUAUGUCUUCAUCUAAACAAUCAACUCAUGAAGUCACCAAAUAUGAGUCAAAAUUUAAGAGAGGAUAAAAUAAUUCACAGAGAAAUUAAUGAUGUUGCCUUUGCAAAAUUAUGUAAAUGUGUCUAAGAUAUCACAUCUGAAAGCCGACUGAAAACAUUAAGAAAUGAACAAGGGAUAGGAAGAAGAUACAGCAUGAAAGGCUUUAUAGAACAAAUAAAAAUAAUGAAACAGGAGAAUGUUGUUUAAAAUUAAAAAUAAUAGCAUGCUGAAUCCAAGUACAAGAAUAAAAUUUUAUCCUCUAAUAGAUAGUAGACUAAUUGCAAACCAUGUUAACCAUUCCACCAGCUUCAACAUCUAUGAUUUCCCACAUGAGAACCAUUCGAUCCACCAGACCACAAUAUUCUUUGUUCAUUUUCAUCUGUCAUUACCAUCACUAGCACGAUCUUUUCCUGUCAUCAAAGCUAAAGUGCAAAUCACUAUAUGCUAUAGUUGAGGUAACCUAAAUAUCCAUUACCUCCAGUAUAAUAAACCCAUUCAGCUCUAAUUCAACAAGGUUGUUUGCUAGCAGAAAAACUAAUGGGAAGUCAGCAUCUUUUUCCCCUUGCUUGUUCUAUUGCGUGAUCCACUCAGAGCUGCUUUUGCAUUUGCCCACUCUUUUAGUGAUGCAUCAGUCCUCAUAAAUGAGCACGUCUCACCAAUUACAAUAUCUCCUUUACGUGGUCGCUUUGUAGCUGAAUUUUGUUUAUUCUCUGUUGAUGCUGAAGCAUUGUCACUUCCCAGAACAUGGAGCUGCCUAGGUUCAACAGUUUUUUGUACAUCACAGUCCCUUAUAAUCUGCAAAUCCAUAGUACCAUCUACAAAAGAUUCACUUUUACCCUUUUCAAUUGUAUUAUUGUUCUUAUGAUCUCUAGCAUCAGUUGUUAUUACACCAUGAGGUUUUGCAAGCUCUUGCUUUUCAAAAGUAACACCUGGCAAGAUUUGGGUGAUGCUGAAUGAACUGCCGUUAUUACUAUUGACCAAUUGUGUCCAUGAAGUUUUGUGGAGCCACGCAGAACCUCUACCUGUCUUAUUUGAAGAAGAAUCCAUUUUGGCAGGCUGAGCUUCCACAAGCUCUUCUACUUCAGUUUUGUCCGACUGAACUCUCUGAUUUUCAUGCCUCAAUAAUUUCUUGUUCUUGCUGUUAAUGGAGUUGGGUACACCAUCAGAUUUGGAUUGCUCUUUCUUAUCAGAUGAAAUGCCAGGCAAUAUGCCCGAGAUGUUAAUGGCACUAUUGCUCCUAUCCCCAAUAAGUUCUUUCCAUGAAGACUUUUGUGACCAUGAAAGUUUGGGAGCUGAUUGUUUGUCACCUGAUUGUGGUUCAAUAAGUUGAGCCCCUGGGAGAAUUGCUGACCCAUUUAAAUGAGCCUGCAAAUUCCCCUUGCCUCUAGCAAUGGCAGAUUCAUAUUCGUUUUCAUUAUUUUCUUCAUGAUUUCUAGUCUGCUUUUCAAGCAUAUCCUCAGUCGAUCCAUCUUUAGGAGCUUUCCUUUUAUUUAAUUUUGACUCCUUGGCAUUGAGAAAGCAAACAGAGUUGGAAUUCAAACUCUAAAGAGAAGUAGUAUACAAGUCAAUGCCUAAAAAACUUAACACCAUUAAUUACGUUAACAUAUGCCUGAUCAGUGAAGGAUGUUACCUGUCCUCGGCUCACCACAUUAAUUAUGAGGUUAUCUUCAUCUGCAGUAGAAUAUCCGUCACUCUCAUCAAGUAGUGGAUCAUUGGUCACUUGCAUGGAAUAGUCUUCUUCCUUGGUCAGUUCAAUGUCACUAUGUGCAGUGGUUGAAAUAUUUUCCAUCUCAAAGAGCUUAUUCAUCACAGAAUUCAUCACGUCAAGUUCUUCCUUAGUCAUCCCGCCCCCUUGUUCUUCCUGAACAGGAAUUUGCUUUUCUUCAGCAUGAUGGAGUGGACCAGAAUGCUCUUCACAAUCACAAAAAUGUGUAGGAAGAGAAGGAACUUCAACACGCCUGAAACUGUACUUGUGCUUGCCAGUUCCACUGAAUGGUAGUGAUUUCACCUUCUGUAAUCUCGGGAAAAAAAUGUUAAGUUGCUUCUUUCUUGAACUGUGUACUUCCCUGGGCCUUUCCAAUGACUCCAACUCCUUGCCUACAUCAUCAUUGACAUGAGUAGUAUAUUUACCACUGGCAAGCUGAGCAUCUUCAGCCCAUUCCCGUUUCAAUCGAUCAAGAAAAUUUUCUUUUGCCUUCUCAAGUCUCAGUCUCCCACCCUUCCAGACACAACCAUUAUAAGUGCUGAAGAGCUUGGAGAGGCAAUUAUGGGAAGAAGGUAAAAAGUCGAGGUAGGCAAAGCUACGGCCUUUGGUCCUGAUGAUGUCAACAGAUUCAAUCUCACCAUCCAUUUUUGAGAAAAUUUUUUGCAAAUCAUCAGUAGUCACGCUCUCCCCUAAUCCUCCCACGUAGAUUCUUACUCUUGUUCUUGUGAAAUUGUCGUCUGCUCCCAUAUCUUUCUUCUUUCUUCCUGCGGCGAUUUCCUGCAUAAAUACCUGCCCUUUUAUUUUGAGUUGGUCUCUAUUUCAAAACCCCUAAUGCUUGAGGGGUGGAUGGAAAG
rnacentral:misc_RNA from 1 species